UUGUUGCUGUCAGAUUCUACUUGUAAAUAUGUAAAUAACAUUAACUGGCUGGAAUGCAAUGCUAUAUCUGGUGCUAAUAUAUACACUCUUCAUCAAUUUGUAAAUGACAACAAAUCACUUUUAAGAAAAUACACACAUUUGUUAUUGCAUGUAGGCACAAAUGAUGUUGGAAAUGGUUUAUCCAGUAAAUUGAUUAUUCAAUAUUAUAAUAAUUUAAUUGAUUUUAUUUGCAAUGUUUUUCCUUCUUUAAAGAUAAUAGUUUCAGCAAUUUUGCCAAGACCUAUAGAUUUUGAUGACACAAAACAAACUGUAAUAGAAUGUAAUAAAGCUUUGGCUAAGCUUACUUUAAAGAGAAAUAUUUUAUUUGUCAAAACUUAUAAGCAAUUUGUUCAGCAACCAGGAUCUAUUUAUAAAAGUAAAUGUUUUUGUAAAGAUAGAUUACACUUAAGUUAUUUUGGUGUUUCAGUUUUAAGAAACUUUUUUAUAGGUGUAGUUAAUCAUUUGUAAUUAUACAAUGUUGUAUUUAAAUGUAUUUUUUUUUCAAGAUACUUUGUGGUUUUUAAUUUUAUUUUUCAGAAGAUGAUGGUCAAGAAAGCUGGGCUAGACCAUUACUUCUACAUCUGGUUUACCUGUGAACCUAUAUUAGUUUGCAGGAUUCCAGAAGUAACUGUUGUUGUAUGUAUUAUCAGAUAAUGCAGAUUGAUGAAUUUGAUGUCUGUUUGGGAAGUGACUGGUGCAUUUAUAUAUUUUGGAAAUUAAUAUUUAUCAAGAAUAUGGACUUUAAAUGAGAAAUUUAUUUAUGACAUAUGUAUGAUUGUAAAUUGUUAUUUAUGCCAAAAUAUGAUUAUCAUUACUUA